GCUUAAGGGAGCAAGAGGUGUUCCUGACUGGCUGUGGGAGCUGUAAGGGCUAAGAGUGUGACUUGGCCAGAGGGCUGAAUCACUGAAGACCCACCUGAUGAGUGCAGCAACUGACAGGGAGAGCCAUGAGUAGAGGAAAUUGAGAAGAAACUGCAGAGGCACACACACUCAACCAGGAGUGCUUUCAUAAUUGCAGUCAAAAGGCUUGGGACCUCAUGAAGGAGUUGUAUACAAUCCGUAGCACCUGUGCUACUUCUGCAGCUUUAAAGUUUUACAGAGCCAUAUCCAGAGAAGAACACCACUGUUGCAGUCUCCACUGAAAACCAUUAUAAGAAGAAUGAGGAGCCAUUUAAUAUUAAGUACACAAAUUCUUCAGUAUUAACAGCCUAAGGACACCUGUUUUAUUUUUGCUGAAUCUUUUCAAGGCUCUAGUACUUCAUGAAACCUUGUUAAAUGUUAAUGGCUAUUGGUAUUGUCA